GAGUAAAACUCAAAAAACGGUACUCAGUUCGGAUUGAAGGCUGAAAUUCGCCUUCAUGAAGCUGGAAUUGCUAGUAAUGGCAGGUCAGCAUACUGCCGUGAAUACGUUCCCGGGCCUUGUACACACCGCCCGUCACACCAUGAGAGUCGGGAACACCCGAAGUCCGUAGCCUAACCGCAAGGGGGGCGCGGCCGAAGGUGGGUUCGAUAAUUGGGGUGAAGUCGUAACAAGGUAUC
rnacentral:rRNA from 1 species